rnacentral:rRNA from 1 species
GACGAACGCUGGCGGCGUGCUUAACACAUGCAAGUCGAACGGAAAGGCCCUGCUUUGUGGGGUGCCCGAGUGGGGAACGGGUGGGGAAACAGUGAGUUACCUGCCCCUGACCUUUGGGUAAAUUCAAGGAAAUGGGGCCAAUUACGGAUUGGAGCCCCUGCCGCAUGGUGGGGGGUGGGAAGUUUCGGCGGUUGGGGAUGGACUCGCGGCUUAUCAGCUUGUUGGUGGGGUAGUGGCUUACCAAGGCUUUGACGGGUAGCCGGCCUGAGAGGGUGACCGGCCACAUUGGGACUGAGAUACGGCCCAGACUCCUACGGGAGGCAGCAGUGGGGAAUAUUGCACAAUGGGCGGAAGCCUGAUGCAGCAACGCCGCGUGCGGGAUGACGGCCUUCGGGUUGUAAACCGCUUUCGCCUGUGACGAAGCGUGAGUGACGGUAAUGGGUAAAGAAGCACCGGCUAACUACGUG